rnacentral:rRNA from 1 species
GGUACGCGAGCUGGGUUCAGAACGUCGCGAGACAGUUCGGUCCCUAUCUGUCGUGGGCGCAGGAUAUUUGAGGAGCUCUGUCCUUAGUACGAGAGGACCGGGAUGGACGUACCUCUGGUGCACCAGUUGUCAUGCCAAUGGCACGGCUGGGCAGCUACGUACGGAACGGAUAAACGCUGAAAGCAUCUAAGCGUGAAGCCGACUCCAAGAUUAGAUAUCCCAUUGCAUAAGCAAGUAAGACCCCUUGAGGACUACGAGGUUGAUAGGCUGCAUGUGUAAGUGUCGUGAGGCAUUUAGCUUGGCAGUACUAAUAGGUCGAGGGCUUGACCACAA